rnacentral:tRNA from 1 species
GUUGUGGCUCAGUGGUAGAGUGCUUGCCUAGCAUGUGUGAGGCACUGGGUUUGAUCCUCAGCACAACA